rnacentral:rRNA from 1 species
UACGUAGGGGGCAAGCGUUGUCCGGAAUCAUUGGGCGUAAAGCGCGCGUAGGUGGCCCGGUAAGUCCGCUCUGAAAGUCAAAGGCUCAACCUUUGAAAGCGGGUGGAUACUGCCGGGCUAGAGUCCGGAAGAGGCGAGUGGAGUUCCUGGUGUAGCGGUGGAAUGCGCAGAUAUCAGGAGGAACACCAACGGCGAAGGCAGCUCGCUGGGACGGUACUGACACUGAGGCGCGAAAGCGUGGGGAGCGAACAGG